rnacentral:rRNA from 1 species
AGCUACCUCGGGGAUAACAGGCUUAUCUCCCCCAAGAGUCCACAUCGACGGGGAGGUUUGGCACCUCGAUGUCGGCUCGUCGCAUCCUGGGGCUGUAGUAGGUCCCAAGGGUUUGGCUGUUCGCCAAUUAAAGCGGUACGCGAGCUGGGUUCAGAACGUCGUGAGACAGUUCGGUCCCUAUCUACCGCGGGCGCAGGAGAUUUGAGAGGCUCUGUCCUUAGUACGAGAGGACCGGGAUGGACGCACCGCUAGUGUCCCAGUUGUUCCGCCAGGGGCAUGGCUGGAUAGCUAUGUGCGGAUCGGAUAAGCGCUGAAGGCAUCUAAGCGCGAAACCGACCUCAAGAUGAGAUCUCCCAUAGGGUUAACCUAGUAAGACUCCUUGUAAGAACACGAGGUUGAUAGGCCGGAAGUGGAAGCGCAGUAAUGUGUUGCUAGCUGACCGGUACUAAUCAGUCGAGGGCUUGACCUUA